rnacentral:lncRNA from 1 species
CCACCAAGGAAGCCCAAAGUGUGCAAUAGCCAUUUCUUGAAGGGGUAUGACCUGGAACUGGCACACUAUCACUUCUGCUGCCAUUCCAUUGUCAAGAACUUAGUCAUAAGGGCACAGCUGGCUGCAGGUGAAUUUCGGAAAUAGAGUCUCCAGCUGAAAAGCAGAGUCUCCAGCUAUGACUCAGGAGUUUUAAUAUUAAAGGAAAAGGGGCAGAAUAGAUAUUUGUAGACAACUCAUCAUCUCUCUUGCAAUGACUAGUGAUUCCUCAAUUAUAACCAGCUCCCCAUCCCUUUCAUUAUUUCCAGUAUGUCACCAAGUCCAAGUCCAAAGGAAAUGACCUGGAAAACAGGAACUUCUGCCCUCAAAGAUGCUAUUCAAAUGACAACCCAAGGCAUUUCAAGACUGCUUCUAGAGUCAAGAAUAUGAAGUGCAUCCUCUUCCUCUAACGUCUUGCUAACAUUCACUAAUUUCUGUUGCCAGUGCACACUGGGAUAUGAAGUUCAAACAGCUUCCCAGGAGUGAACAGGAAGAACUCUCUAAUUCUUGAUCCUGACGUGCUGCAAAGGAGGAAUCACUCGGGAUGCCAUCAGAGCAAAGCCAAUCUGUUCUCAAGCCCACGGGUUCACUCAGAGGGACCUGAACACCUGUGUCUGGCCCAAUGUCAGCUGCCAGACGUCAUCGUCCCGAGUGUUGCUUUCUUGCCUCUGACCUUCUCUAUUCAUUCUGUGUCCUUCCUGGCCCUUGUGGGCAAUUACACCUGUGAAUGUGAGUCCAGAGGGAGAGAAGAGUUGGCUGUGAGGUGACCAGUCCUUCCCAUCAGGAAGGUGACCACAGGAAUGAAGAAGAAGGUCAUGUGCUAAAAAUACUUUUCCUGCUGUUUUUUGCUGAAUCUCAAACUAUUAACAUAUAACCCAAGAAAAGCUGACAAAAUGGAACAAAACACUUAUGAAAAAUUUGACUACAUUUCUUCAGAAAAGCAACUAUAAUCUUUUCAAAAAGUUUUCUGAUCUUGUUCCUUUAUAUACGUUUUAGAGUAAUGAAUGCUGUUAGAUAUUGGAAAAGGUGUAUGAUUCAUUACAUAUUCUAAUGUAUUGUCUAUAGAUUAUAAGAUAAAAUCAAGCAUGUACCUGCUGAUACUUUUUAAGUUGACCUGUCUUUAUACUUAGAAAUGUCUCUUAAUAGUAGGCUUCCCUGGUGGCUCAGAUGGUAAAGAAUCUGCCUGCAAUGCAGGGAACCUGUGUUCAAUCCCUGGGUUGGGAAGAUCCCUGAAGGAAAUGGCAACCCACUCCAGUAUUCUUGCCUGGAGAAUUCCAUGGAUAGAGGAGCCUGGCAG